UCUCUCUUUCUCUCUUUCUCUCUUUCUCUCUUUCUCUCUCGGCCUGUGUGGAUCCACAACUGUUUAUGUGCACAAUGUAACGAGUCAUUUUCCUGAUUUUACCACAAAGCUUCGAGCUCAUAAGAUAUGAUGAAAAAAAAAAUGUGGACUGCAUUCCAAACACUUUUCAAAUGUUUGCAAAAUUGAACCAAAAGCAAAUUGCAUUAAAAUGUCUUAUCGUUGAUUCAUUGAUGCAGGUAUUUGUAAUAGGCCCACAACUUGGUGAAGGGUGAAGAUUAUGUUUUUGGGGAAGGAAGGGAUUCUUUGCAAAAAUACUGAUAUUUUGCACAGGUAUGAAAAAUGAAAAGAAGAUGGAUGAAGUUGAACAAGAGGAGGAAGACGGGGGGGAGGAGGAGGAGGAGGAGGAGGAGGAGGAAGAGGAGGAGGAUGAAGAUGAAGAGGAAGAUGGAGAGGGGGAAGAUGAAGGGCCCAAUACCCCUCAGCCUUUUGUAUUGCUGAAUGGGCCAUCAGUGAAUUACUUGGUGCAAGAUAAAAAGAUUCACCCACGAGGUGAGAUCGCAGAAGAAGAAAUGGCAGGGAAGGACAUUUACGGAGACCAUGGAAACCAGCUUUUGGACCCAAAGCUUGGAGUACCGGACAUAGAAAACGAUGGCAAUGAAGGGGAGGAAGGCUUGGAGGAAGGGGAGGAGGUUGAGGAGGAAGAUGAAGAACUCAAAAAUGGGAUGAAGGAAUUUGCUGAACAUUCCGAAGAAGAGGAAGAAGAGGAGGAAGAGGAGUUGGAAGAUGAGGACGGCAACCCAGAAGUGGAUGAAAUGGCCCCUGACAAUCAAGCCACUUUGAGACGAGCUGAGAUGUGACUUUUUGACUCUCAGGGAUACGAUAAUGAACACAAUUUUAUUUUGAUAAGAUAACCUUUGACCCCUCUCCCCAGUUCGUGUUUUUACAGUUGCAGAGGAGCACUUUUUAUACCCGUACCUAGGUGAGCCAUUAGUAUCGCCGUCUGCUUUGGUUGUAUUCGGGUAUUUGUGCCACGUUUUGCACACUGAGUUAAGGUCCAACCUGCUCGACACAUCAUUGUGUAAAUGUAUGUGGAAAUGUGGCACCGGAAGACUUAAGGUCUGCAUGGUUUAAAUUGCAGAACCUUUUAUGGGAAAAGUCUUUUUUUUUGUGGUUGCAACUGAACCACAUUAGUUUUGAUAAAGCAACCAUAUCCGAUGUAAAGCCGGCCAAAUCAUGGCUGAGGUGAGUAGCGUGUCCAACUAUCCCAGGCGAUUAUUCAUGGGCAAUCAACUCAUUCCUGAGCGAAAAAGCAGAUGGAUACGCGGUAUAAAUUACAGAUGAAUUUCGAAUGAUUUGACCUAAUUUUGGGCUUUUUCAAUCAAAUUUGAAAAUGCACCAAGUUUGUUCUUUCAUUGUUUGAGCAGAUGACUUAAAUCUGAAAACAUCCGACUCAAGGGGGCGCCAAAUGUGUGAACAAUCUCUUGUGGAGAUAUGAGAAACUGAAUAGUGAAUACGACUUCAACGGCUUAUGGUGCAUCACGGGAGAUUCACUCGAGAUGAAUAUGCUUACUCAUUGCUAAUUACUGGAUUAUAUCCGGUUGAUUGAACUUAAUUUUGGUCAAAUCCCUUGUAAUUUGUGCGAGUUUAAUUGUGAAGCAAACCAGAGACAACCUUUGGCAAAGUCCCAGCAACAUUGGAGCAUAUAUCCUGCUUGGAUCAAUUACCUCAAUGUAGGGUUGGCUUUAGGUGAAAAGCCUCUAACAGGUUGGAGCAAUAUAAGCAAGAGCAGACUUCCUGUAAAUUUAAGAUUGCCUUUGGCUGAGCGAUUUGAGAAAGGUGUAGUCACGCCAUUUAUGAUUAAAUGGGUUCACCUCUGAAAUUUUAAAACGCAUGACGUAACAAGGUCUCUGUAUUGAUGAAUGUUUCCGCUCCCUGCCUUUUGACAUUAUUGUUAUACGCCACGUGCUGACGAAGUUUUAUUUGACUUUUUUGCAGUAUCUAAAUCGUGGGGCUGGCAUGCACACAUCUCACACACAUGGACAUACAUAGAGACAAAUACACAGGACUGUUAGACGAGACAAACAUGGCCACUGAGCUUGUUGGAAGUGCCGUCACUUCCCGAAGUACUCUUGGUAACAGCGACGUCACAACAAUGGCACCGCAUUUUCGCAGCUGCACUCAACAUGGCAUUUCCUUCGGAGGAAUUUCCUCCUUCUCAUGGAUGCCAACCUCUGGUGAUUGUCCCUGCUCUUAUCCUUUUGAAUGAUGAAUGUCAAGCAAGGCAGCAGCACGUACCGUUUUUUAAAGUCUUUGGUGCGAUUCGGCCGGGGUUUGAACCACCGAACUAUCAGACUUGGAGUGGACGCUCUAACCGUUACACCACCCAGUCUGGUACAAAUAUUUAUCUCCCCAAAGGUUGGAGAGUUGUUUUGAGGAUACAUAUGUCUCAUGAACCUGAAUCUGACCAUGUGACAAAGAUCUACAUGGAGACUUUUUCACAAAUUAGCUUUAAAGUGUGGCAACCUCAAAAGUAUUUUGCACUAAAUUGCUCAUGCCAAAAAAUGGUUCACCAGAUUUACUCGUAAACUUUUAUCUGAACACAUCAAAAAUCCCCCCC
ensembl:lincRNA